GGGCAAACAGGAGAAACGACAGGGUACCAAAGACUUCCCUGUCAGCUGAAGGGCACCCUGGAUGCAUGUCUCUGAGCCCUCACACUCCUGUAACCUGUGAAGGGUAAGCAAGCAGAACAGGUGAUGGGCCAUGCAUCUUCCUGACGCACUGUGAAGCAGGAAGAGAUGGAACAGUGGCUCUGGGUUACCGGUGAGGAGCGAGAAGCACCAACAUGGUUGCUGUCCUGGAACUCACUAAGCAGGCUGCCUUGGCUUGCCAGGGAAGCCCCAGGAAUCUGCCUGUCUCCAUCGUCAUCUCCUCAGUCCUGGAGUUACAAGUGUGAGCCAACGCAACUGGCCUUUUCGCAUCGGUUCUGGGGAUGGACUCAGAUCCUCAGGCACUUGACUGUCUGAGCUUCUCUCUUCAGACACUUUCUUCCAUAAUUCUUAAAUCAUUAUAAGCAAAACGUUGUU
rnacentral:lncRNA from 1 species